UACGUAGGGACCAAGCGUUUGUUCGGAUUUACUGGGCGUAAAGGGCGCGUAGGCGGCGUGUCAAGUCAAUUGUGAAAUCUCCGAGCUUAACUCGGAACGGUCAAUUGAUACUGAUGUGCUAGAGUGCAGAAGGGGCAAUCGGAAUUCUUGGUGUAGCGGUGAAAUGCGUAGAUAUCAAGAGGAACACCUGAGGUGAAGACGGGUUGCUGGGCUGACACUGACGCUGAGGCGCGAAAGCUAGGGUAGCAAACGGG
rnacentral:rRNA from 1 species